rnacentral:tRNA from 1 species
GCGAGGGUGGCGGAAUUGGCAGACGCGCUGGACUUAGGAUCCAGUGCCGCAAGGCAUGAGAGUUCAAAUCUCUCCCCUCGCA